rnacentral:sRNA from 1 species
AAACGGUCGGGGCGACCUUGCGGCCUUCGACCACCUCGGCGAC